GACGUAGGGCGCGAGCGUUGUCCGGAUUAUUGGGCGUAAAGAGCUCGUAGGCGGUUUGUCGCGUCUGCUGUGAAAACUCGGGGCUUAACCCCGGGCCUGCAGUGGGUACGGGCAGACUAGAGUGCGGUAGGGGAGACUGGAAUUCCGGGUGUAGCGGUGGAAUGCGUAGAGAUCCGGAAGAACACCGGUGGCGAAGGCGGCCUGCUGGGCAGUUGCUGGACACUGAGGCGCGACAGCGUGGGGAGCAAACAGG
rnacentral:rRNA from 1 species